UACGAAGGGGGCUAGCGUUGUUCGGAUUUACUGGGCGUAAAGCGCACGUAGGCGGAUCGUUAAGUCGGGGGUGAAAUCCUGGAGCUCAACUCCAGAACUGCCUUCGAUACUGGCGAUCUUGAGUCCGGAAGAGGUGAGUGGAACUCCUAGUGUAGAGGUGGAAUGCGCAGAUAUCAGGAGGAACACCAACAGCGAAGGCAGAUCUCUGGGACGUAACUGACGCUGAGACGCGAAAGCGUGGGGAGCAAACAGG
rnacentral:rRNA from 1 species